GAGGGUGAUCGGCCACAUUGGAACUGAGACACGGUCCAAACUCCUACGGGAGGCAGCAGUGGGGAAUAUUGCACAAUGGGCGAAAGCCUGAUGCAGCAACGCCGCGUGAGUGAUGAAGGCCUUCGGGUCGUAAAACUCUGUCCUCAAGGAAGAUAAUGACGGUACUUGAGGAGGAAGCCCCGGCUAACUACGUGCCAGCAGCCGCGGUAAUACGUAGGGGGCUAGCGUUAUCCGGAUUUACUGGGCGUAAAGGGUGCGUAGGCGGUCUUUCAAGUCAGGAGUGAAAGGCUACGGCUCAACCGUAGUAAGCUCUUGAAACUGGGAGACUUGAGUGCAGGAGAGGAGAGUGGAAUUCCUAGUGUAGCGGUGAAAUGCGUAGAUAUUAGGAGGAACACCAGUUGCGAAGGCGGCUCUCUGGACUGUAACUGACGCUGAGGCACGAAAGCGUGGGGAGCAAACAGGAUUAGAUACCCUG
rnacentral:rRNA from 1 species